rnacentral:tRNA from 1 species
UCCGGCAUAGCUCAGUGGUAGAGUAGGUGGCUGUUAACCACUUGGUCGUAGGUUCGAAUCCUACUGCCGGAG